rnacentral:rRNA from 1 species
CAGUCGCCGCGGUAAUACGUAGGGUGCGAGCGUUAAUCGGAAUUACUGGGCGUAAAGCGUGCGCAGGCGGUUCGUUAAGACAGAUGUGAAAUCCCCGGGCUUAACCUGGGAACUGCAUUUGUGACUGGCGAGCUAGAGUAUGGCAGAGGGGGGUAGAAUUCCACGUGUAGCAGUGAAAUGCGUAGAGAUGUGGAGGAAUACCGAUGGCGAAGGCAGCCCCCUGGGCCAAUACUGACGCUCAUGCACGAAAGCGUGGGGAGCAAACAGGAUUAGAUACCCCUGUAGUCCCUGUCUCUUAUAA